rnacentral:rRNA from 1 species
GACGAACGCUGGCGGCGUGCCUAAUACAUGCAAGUCGAACGAGAAUUGCUUACACCGAGUGCUUGCACUCACCGUAAGGAAUUCGAGUGGCGGCCGGGUGAGUAACACGUGGGUAACCUGCCUAUCAGAGGGGGGAUAACACUUGGAAACAGGUGCUAAUACCGCAUAAUAUUGAAAAGCGCAUGCUUUUCAAUUAAAAGGCGCUUCUGGUGUCACUGAUAGAUGGACCCGCGGCGUAUUAGCUAGUUGGUGGGGUAACGGCCUACCAAGGCAAUGAUACGUAGCCGAGUUGAGAGACUGAUCGGCCACAAUGGGACUGAGACACGGCCCAGACUCCUACGGGAGGCAGCAGUGGGGGAUAUUGCACAAUGGAGGAAACUCUGAUGCAGCGACGCCGCGUGAGGGAAGACGGUCUUCGGAUUGUAAACCUC